rnacentral:lncRNA from 1 species
GCUGAGGGGGCAACUGGGAGCACUGGGAGCAACUGGGGGGGCAACUGGGAGCGGCUGGGGGGCAACUGGGAGCACUGGGGGGCAACUGGUCCUUACUGGUCCUUACUGGUUGUUAGUAGGUCUUAUUGGUCCUUACUGGUUGUUAGUAGUUCUUAGUGGUCCUUACUGGUUCUUAUUGGUGUUACUGGUCCUUACUGGUCCUUACUGGUGUUACUGGUCCUUACUGGUUUUUACGGCUCUUUACUGGUUCUUCCUGGUUUUUGCUGGUGUUACUGGUCCUUACUGGUGUUACUGGUCCUUAUUGGUCCUUAAUGGUCCUUACUGGUGUUACCGGUGCUACUGGUCCUUACUGGUCCUUACUGGUAUUAGUGGUUGUUACUGGUUGUUACUGGUAUUACUACUCCUUACUGGUGUUACUGAUCCUUACUGGUCCUUACUGGUCCUUACUGGUGUUACUGAUCCUUACUGGUCCUUACUGGUCCUUACUGGUGCUACUGGUCCUUACUGGUCCUUACUGGUGUUACUGGUGUUACUGGUGCUACUGGUCCUUACUGGUCCUUACUGGUGUUGCCGGUGCCCGCUUGCAGCGCCGCCAGCAGCAGCCGCCACAACCCGGUGCAGCUGUGGGACGCCUACGACGGCCGCGUCAGGGGCAGCUUCCGGGCCCACAACCACCUGGUGAG